rnacentral:lncRNA from 1 species
GGAAGGAAGGAAGGACUUUCUAGAAACCAGCUCAGGUGAAAUAAGAGCCUGGUAAAACCAAUUGCAACACAGUAAUUAUUUUAAAUGAUAAGUAUGCUGAUUAUGCAAAUGAUCCAUAUGGAAAUAUAUGAUUAAAAAAAGUGAAGGGGGUGGGGCUGUGACUCAGCGCUAAAAUGUUUGCCUAGCACGUGGGGAAAGGAUAAUCUUUCAACAAAUGGUGCUAGGAAACUGGAUAUCCACAUGCAAAAUGUGAAACCAAAAGCACAAACAAAGAAAAAACAGACAAACUGGAGUUCAAGAUUUAAAAUUUGUGUGUAGAAGCAUAUCAAGAUAGUGAAACAGAACUCAUAGCUGGGGAAAAAAAUAUUUAUACAUCUUAUACCUGAUAAGGGUCUAGUAUACUGAAUAUAUAAAGAACCACAAUUCAACAACAGAAAGACAAGUAAUCCACUUAAAAAAUGGGAAAAGGAGUUCAAUAAGUAUUUCUUCAAAGAGGAUAUACAGCAAGCACAAUGAAAAUAUGUGCAGUUUUGGAUUUGAUCGCGCAUACCUGUAAUCCCAGUGACUUGGGAGGCUGAGCCAAAAGGUUUGCAAAUUUGAGGCCAGUCUCAGCAAUUUAGUGAGACUCUCAGCAACUUAGCAAGACCUUGUCUCAAAAUAAAUAAUAAUUAAAAAAGGAAGGAAUGGGGAUGUAGCACCCCUGGGUUCAAUUCCCAGACCUAAAAAACAAAAGAAGAGAAAGAAAAGAUGCAUAGCAUCUUUUUAUUAUUCAUUAGGAAAAUGGAAAUCAAAAUUACAAUAAAAGCCAGGUAGUGUAGUGCAUAAUUAAUCCUGGCUACUCAGGAGGCUGAGGCAGAAAGAUCACAAGUUUGAGACCAGCCUAUGCAACAUAGCCAGACCUUGUCUCAAAACAAAAAGCAAAACUAUGGCAAGAGAGCAAAGGGGUUGUAAACUUGGUGGUAAAGAACUUUCCUAGCAUAUACAGGCCUUGGGUUGGAUCCUCAGGACUGCAAAACAAAACAAAAACAAAUUUACAACUAGACUUCACACUAAGAUAGAAAUAAUAAGAAAAGGGAAAGUAACAACUGUUGGCAAGGAUAUGGGGAAAUUAGACCCCUCAUAUAUUGCUGAUGGGAAUAUAAACUAGUACAACUACUUGUUAAAAAGUUUUACAGUCCCUCAAACAUAUAUUAUGAUUUGGAUCUUGAAUGUUUCUUAAAGACUAUACAUAUAUACACACACACACAUAUUUUUGGAACUGGUGAUUGAACCCAGGGGCACGUAACCACUGAGCCAUAUCCCCAGCCCUUUCUGUUUUUUACUUUGAGAAAUGAUCUCAUUAAGUUGCUUAGGCCCCUCUAAGUUGCUAAGGCUGCUCUUGAACUUGCAAUCCUCCUACCCCAGCCUCCUGAGUUGCUGGGAUUACAGAUAUGCACCAUCACACCCAGAAGGCCAUAUUUUGAAGGCCUGAUCACUAGCUGUGAUACUAUUAGGAAGUGAUGGAACCUAUAGGAGGUAGGGCCUAGUAGAAGGAAAUUAGGUCAUUGGGGGGUGACUGGGGGAUAUGUGUACCUGACCUCUUCUCUUUCUUUCCCUGUGGCCAUGAGGUGAGCAUCUUUUCUCUACAUGCUUCAGACAUAGGCCCAAAAGCAACAGAGCCAGCUGACCAUGGACUGAAACUGCUACACUGUCCUGAUCUUAUACUGCCUAGGUGACCUAGCUGAAUUUCUAGCCCCACACUAAUCUUGCUUAUUUUUGAGGACAGGAUGCCUGAAAAUCCAGAAGUUCCUUUUGUGAUGGACUAGCCAAAACUAGUUUCAUCUAAAAUAGAUGCCAGAGUGAACAUCAGACAAAUGAUUUCAUUACAAUUUCAUUUACAUGCUAAAUGACACACACUCCUUUCACCCUGCACUGAUGAUUGUCAUGAGGACAACUGGAAUAAAAUAUAAAAGAAAAGAGGUGAUGGAGCUGGGAGUUGUGGCUCAGCGGUAUAGCACUUGCCUAGCAUGUGUGAGGCACUGGACUCGAUCCUGAGCUCCACAUAUAAAUAAAUAAAAUAAAGAUAUUGUGUUCUCCUACAACUAAAAAAGAAAAAGAAAUAGAGGUGGACUCCAAAUUCCUAGAAAAAUCUCCACCCAUUCCUAGAGAAUACAUGAAUAUUUAGCCUCUCCCUCGCUCUUAUUUUACCCUAUGUCUAUAGUUUCCUGACCAUCAAUGAGUUGAGAAGGUUGACCUGUGAGCCUUUCUCCAUGCUUCUAUACUUGUCCAAGAAUAAACCUUCCUUAGCCAGGCUUGGUGGCUUACAAAGGUAAUCCCUCUGGAAGUAGGGCUGAAGCAGGAUAGUAAGUUGGAGGCCAGCUUGGGCAGUUUAGCAAGACCCUGUCUCAAAAUGAAUAAAGUUAAAAGGGGAUUUAUCUCAGUGGCACAGUAUCCCUGGGCUCAAUCCCUCGAAUAGAAAAAACUAAAAACAAAAAUUCUUCUUUAUUGUUCAGUUGGCACUUAUUUGUCUUAUUGGUUUCACAAUUCCAAGAGGGAAAAAAGACCCAGUUUGGGGUCAAAAUUCGUAAUAAAACCUCUGAAACCAUGACCUAAAAUAAAUUUAACGUAAAAUAUAAUACCCUGCAAUCCUAUUCCUAAAAGAACUCAAAAUAUAUAUCAAAUGAAAGUACAUAUAUGCCCUGAGUAAAAGUAUUUUGAAAAAAAUUAUGUCACAGAUUUUUUAAAAGCUUGUAUGUGAAUGUUCAUAGCAACAUUUUUCAUACAAGCCAAAAGGUGUAAACAACCCAAAUAUUUGUUAACUGAUGACUGGAUAAACAAAACAUGGUACAUUCAUACACAGGGAUAUUAUUCCAUAAAAAGGAAUGAAAAGUUGAUAUCUGCUACAAUUUAGGUGACUCCUGAAAACAUCAUGCCUAGUAUGCCUAGUAAAUGAAUCCAGACACAAAAGUUUAAAUAUAGUAUGAUUUCAUUUAUAUUAAAGGUCUAGAAUAGGCAAAUCCAUAGAAAUAAAAGGUAGAUCAGUGGUUGCCACAGGACUGGGGAGAGGGGAGAAUGAUGAGUGGCUGCUAGGUUUCUUUUUGUGGUUAUGAAAAUGUUUUGCAAUUAGAUAAUGGUGAUGGUUGCACCACCUUGUGCAUACAUGAAAAACUGCUGAAUGGUACACUUUAUAAGAUGGCG